UGGCUCUCGCAUCGAUGAAGAACGCAGCGAAUUGCGAUAAGUAAUGUGAAUUGCAGAAUUCAGUGAAUCAUCGAAUCUUUGAACGCACCUUGCACUCUCUGGUAUUCCGGAGAGUACGCCUGUUCGAGUGUCGUGAAACUCUCAAGCUGGAUGGGCUUUUAUUAGUCUGUCUUUAGUUUGGAUGUGGACUCUGCUGUGUGACAACGGCUGGUCUUAAAGGCAUUAGCUGAAUCUUGAUCGUCUCUGGUUCUUACUCGGCGUGAUAAUUAUCUGACCGCUGGGGACAUCCUUUUAGGGGAUGGCCAGACUCUUUCUCGAAUCGCUUCUAAUCCGACGGAUAAGUCUCUCUGGGACUUUUCCGCUCACUAUUUCAACCUUUGACCUCGAAUCAGGUGGGACUACCCGCUGA
rnacentral:misc_RNA from 1 species